AUCCCUAAAGGUUGCACGAUACACACCACAGACCUCCACAACCACGCUGCACGCUCCACCGCUCCUUCAUGGCUUCCUCUACUCACGCAGUCACGCUUGUCGCUUGGCAGUUGGCCUUGGCUCCACCGCUUCAGGCUCCAGCCAGCUCCAAGUCAAUUGCACAAAAUAAUAUCACUGGACCCAUUCCAAAGAACCUAUAUCUUCUGUCUUUGGACAAUAAUAAUAUCUUUCGAACACUGCCUCCGGAACUUGGUGAUUUAGUCGAACUUGGAGAAUU